rnacentral:lncRNA from 1 species
CGUGGCAAGCAUAUAGAAAGCCACGUGUCAGUUUCUCACAUAGGGUUUCAUAAAGGGUUCUACUUUAGUAUAUAGUAAUAGAUAGAUUUAAAUUUUGAAUUUGAUUUAAUUUGAUUUUUAAUAAUAUAAUAAAUAGAAUAGAGUUUGACACGUGGCAAGAAUAUAGAAAACCACAUGUCAGAUUCUCACAAAGGGUUCAUAAAGGGUUCUAGUUUAGUAUAUAGUAAUAGAUUUGCUCCGUAUUCGUUCGUGGACGUAGGCCGUUGACCGAACCACAUAAAUAUCGGUGUGCCCUUUCUUCUUUUCUUUUCGUUUCUUGCAUUAAAUUAUUUUCUGCUUCUAUUUUUCGUCGUUCCGAUUUUAACAGAAAGUGUCCUUUGUAUAAAGGACAAUAUUUGAUACUUAUUUUAUUUAUUUUUU